UACGGGGGGUGCGAGCGUUGUCCGGAAUCACUGGGCGUAAAGGGCGCGUAGGUGGCCUGAUAAGGGUGUGGUGAAAGUCCGGGGCUCAACCCCGGAUCUGCCGUGCCGACUGUUGGGCUGGAGUACUGUAGGGGCAGGCGGAAUUCCGGGUGUAGCGGCGGAAUGCGUAGAGAUCCGGAGGAAGACCGGUGGCGAAGGCGGCCUGCUGGGCAGUUACUGACACUGAGGCACGAAGGCCAGGGGAGCAAACGGG
rnacentral:rRNA from 1 species